rnacentral:rRNA from 1 species
UACGGAGGGGGCUAGCGUUGUUCGGAAUUACUGGGCGUAAAGCGCACGUAGGCGGACUGUUAAGUCGGGGGUGAAAUCCUGGGGCUCAACCUCAGAAUUGCUUCCGAUACUGGCAGUCUCGAGUGCGGGAGAGGUGAGUGGAAUUCCCAGUGUAGAGGUGAAAUUCGUAGAUAUUGGGAAGAACACCAGUGGCGAAGGCGGCUCACUGGCCCGUAACUGACGCUGAGGUGCGAAAGCGUGGGGAGCAAACAGG